CCCUGCUCCAUUUUCAUUCCAACCAGAGAGCUCACACCAGCAGAUGCUACCACUUCUGCUGAGAGAGAGGUCGAGAUGGCUGCCAUAGCGGUGAGCGCCUCCACUGGAGUGAUGAACUCGCUCCUCUCCAAGCUCUCCAUCCUGCUUAGUGAUCAGUACAAGCAACUCAAGGGGGUCCGCAAGGAUAUCGAGUUCCUCAGCUGUGAGCUCGUCGACAUGAAUGCAGCGCUGGAGAAGCUAGCGGAUAUGGAGAAGAUGGAUGUUCAAACAAGGGUGUGGAGGGACAAGGUUCGUGAGAUGGCCUACGAUAUUGAAGAUUGCAUUGAUGUCUUCAUGCAUCACCUUGGCCAGGGACAUGACAAGGAUGGCUUAUUCCGCAAGACCGCACGCAAGAUCAGGAAGCUGCGAGUGCGCUACCAAAUUGCCAACAAGAUUCAAGAACUCAAAUCUCGUGUUGUGGAGCAGAGCCAGAGCCGAGAUAGAUACAAGAUUGAUGAAGCCCCUGCCACCUCUACAGUUCCUCCAGUCGAUCCACGGGUGCAAGCAAUGUUCGAAGAUGCAAAAAGGCUCGUGGGUAUUGAUGGUCCAAGAGAUGAAAUCACCCAGUGGCUGAUGGAGGAAGGUGAUACUUCUGAACAGCUUAAAGUGGUGUCCAUCGUGGGUUUUGGGGGUCUCGGCAAGACAACUCUUGCAAACCAAGUGUACAACAAAAUCAAGAGUGAGUUUCAGUGCACAGCGUUCGUGUCAGUUUCAAGAAGUCCUGAUAUGCCAAAGAUUCUGAAAGACAUGCUUUCUGAAGUUGGAUAUCAUAGCAUGGAUAUGGCAGAUGACGUCAGCAAGCUUAUCACGGCCCUCACUGAACACCUUGCAGAUAAGAGGUACCUAGUUGUAAUUGAUGACAUAUGGAGCAGCCCGGCAUGGAACAUCAUUAGGUGUGCAUUCAUGCAAAACAAUAAAAGUAGUAGAGUUAUCACUACUACACGCAUUCAAGAAGUAGCUACAGCAUGUUGCUCAGGAUGCCAAGGAUACGUGUAUGAAAUACAACCGCUUAACAGCCUUGACUCUAGAAGCUUAUUUUUUAAACGGCUAUUCGACACAGAGGAUGGCUGUCCCAAGCAAUAUAGAGAGAUCUCUAAAGAUAUGAUAAAGAAGUGCCGUGGUGUGCCAUUGGCUAUUACCAGCAUUGCUAGCCUUUUGGAAAGCCAAGGCAUGCAUGUUGAGAAAUGGGAGAAAAUUCGGGAUUCUCUGGGUUAUGAGCUUGAAACUAGCUCUAAAAUGGAAUGGAUGAGACAUGUGCUAAGCCUUAGCUACAAUGACUUGCCACAUCAUCUCAAAACAUGUUUGCUUUAUCUUGGUGCAUAUCCUGAAGACUAUGAAAUUUGGAAGAAUGAUUUGGUUAGGCUAUGGAUUGCAGAAGGAUUUGUUCCUGAAAAGCAUGGUUUGGAUCUAGAGGAGGUUGCUGAGGGCUAUUUUAAUGAAUUGAUCAACAGAUGUAUGAUCCAACCUGUUGUUGAUCAUAUAGGUGAGAUUUUAGGUGAGGUGAGGUCAUGUCGAGUUCACGAUCUAAUGCUUGAUCUUAUUCUGUUGAAGUGUACUGAAGAAAACUUUAUCACUACCAAUGGUUGUCUGCAUAAUAUGAAAGGAACAUCACAAGUUCGUCGGAUUAGCCAUCAGUUCCAUACCAGAAAUAUGGCCCUAGCAGUGGAAAGGAUGAAUCUAUCACAACUUCGGUCCUAUAUGUUGUACCCUGCAGCUAAGUAUGUACCUGUUAUUUCCAAGUUUGAACUAUUGCGAGUGCUGCGCUUGGAGUCCGAUUCCUAUGGAAGGAAAGACUCUGAGUGCCUUGAUUUAUCCAACAGCACAAGUCACCUUUUUCUGUUGAGAUACCUGGAGGUUAGUGGCUUUCGCUUGAAACUGCCAAAGAAAUUUGGAAAACUUCAGCAUUUGAUGACCCUACGUUUGGCAAUAAACUUGUUAGAUUUUAGUAAUCCCACACUGGAUGUUACUUCUUUGUCAUCACUGAGGCAUCUCACCCUCCCAUAUAAUCCAAUUUGUUUGGAGCUGCGCAAUGGAGUCAGCAAACUGAGCAACCUACAAACUCUGGAGUGGUUUGAUAUAAGCAUGAACUCUGUCGAGACCAUCAAAGAACUCGGUGAGCUGACCAAUCUAAGGGAGCUUGACCUCAAGGCCUCAGGGGGUACCAAAGAAGAAGAUUCUGAAACCAAAACUCUAAAGUACGACACCCUGGCAGCUUCCCUUCGCAGGCUUGGUAACAGUAACCUCCGCCAGCUACAUGCUGGCUUUUCUGCCCCAGAGCAGUUUUGGAAUAAUUGCUUCACAUGUCCGCACCAUCUGCAGUGGAUUGGUUUCACCAUCAUAAAAACCUCCCAGAUUCCAACGUGGAUGGCACAAGCUAAUAGGUUGGCAUAUUUAGACCGGCUUCAAGUUGCGCAGCUCCCGAGCGAGGACGUCCAAGUUCUGGCACAGAUGCCCUGCCUCGCUUACCUCUCCCUGGUAGCCGAAAUGGUCCCCGAGAAAAGCAUCAUCAUCCGCUCCAACGCAUUCCCAGUCCUCAAGCAAUUUAUAUUUAGCUAUAGGUUGUCCUGCCUGAUGUUUGAGCCAGGCGCAAUGCCACGGCUAAAGAAACUUGACAUAACCUAUGAUUCUCGUGGACCCGGUUCAGAGCAUGAGGUCAGUCCCGUUGCUGGAGUCGAGCACCUCGCAAGCCUUGAAGAGGUCUCCGUGGUAGUAAAGGCCAAACAUGGUGAAGGGUCCAAGCUUGGGUCUUUAUGCAGGGAAUCCAUCCAAAGGCAUCCGAGAUAUCAAUCCAUGAAUGUCGACGUAGAAUAUGAAGACGGUGAUGAUGAUGGUCUAAGCUUUUCUGAGGAUGAUGAUUAAGCUAUCCGGGUAUAGUUAAUGCUUCAUCCCUUGUCCGAUUCAUUGUUACUACCUCAAAAUUGUCUACAAGCACACCCCACACAACUGAUAGCUCUAGAACCGAUGACGAGCAUGAUUCAUCUCAACCACGUGUUAGGAGAUCAAAGGUAUGGCAAUACUUUGAGCAGGAUUUGGUGAUGGUAGAUGACGUUUGGAAGGCAGUUUGCAAGUAUUGUGGGCUGAGACUUGGGGCUCAAUCGGGCAAUAGUAGUCUUAGAAGUCAUAUUGCUACAACUUGCCCGGCUAUUGGAGAUGAUGAUAGAAACAGUUUUUUAGCCACCAUAAAGAAAAAAUCUUCAGAUACCUUUGUGUUUGACCCCGUCUUAAGUCGUGAGCGCAUGGUUCAGUUUGUCAUACAUGCUGAAAUCGAAUUCAAUAAAUUUGAAGACCCUUACUUUGAGCCAUGGAUGGAAACUCUACAACCAACAAUGAAAUGUGUAGGGUGCCAAACCGUUCGUAAUGAUUGCCUCAAGAUGUAUGAGAAGAUGAAGCAAGAUCUUCACAGUGAGUUUUCGGUCUUAGACUCUCGUGUGUGCUUCACAUCUGAUAUGUGGACUUCCCUUCAGAACUUAGGAUAUAUGGUCAUAACUACACAUUUUGUGGAUGCUGAUUUCAAGCUUAAGAAGAAAAUCAUUAGUUUGAAGGAAGUCAAGUAUCCUCGUACCGGCUAUGCUUUAGAAGAGGCUAUUGUAAGCAGCCUAACUGAGUGGGGUUUAAGGGAGAAAAUGCUUACUUUAACCUUAGAUAAUGCAGGAAACAAUACCAAGGCAUGUGAACUAAUAGUAUAGCAUCACAAGCAUGAGUUGUUAUGUGAGGGAGCACAUCUGCAUGUUAGAUGUUCUGCACAUAUUUUGAAUAUUCUAGUUCAAGAUGGAAUGGAACUUAUUCAUGCUGCAAUAGACAAGAUUCGUGAGUUGUUGAAGAGCAUAGAAUCUUCACCGUCACGAAUUCAAAAUUUCAACUCAAUUGCAACUAAUAAGGGCCUUAAAGCAAAACGUGGCAUUUAUCUGGAUAUACCAAACAGAUGGAAUUCUACAUUUAAAAUGGUACGAGAAGCAUUAGAUUACAAGUCUGUACUUAGUACUUAUGCUGAACAAUAUCUUGAAGUUGCACCAAAUGAAGAAGAAUGGUCAAAAGCCGAAGCGAUAUGUGUAUUUCUCAAUGCUUUUGAAGAAGCCACAAAUCUUGUAUCGGCUGACCGAAAACCAACUUCGCACAAAUUCUUACCAUUAAUGCUUUCUAUUCGAUAUGCUUUGAAUGAUCCGGCUUGGCAAAAUAGUGAAGUUUUGGUAGAUUUGGCUGCUGCAAUGAAGGUUAAAUUUGCGAAAUAUUGGGAGCUUAAACCAGUGCCUAAUGAGUCUAGCCUCCGGAGAAGGAAAGAGUACAAUUUUAACAUUGUAAUUGUCAUUGCCACUAUCUUAGAUCCAAGAAGAAAGUUUGAUUAUGUGGAAUUCUUUUAUGAGAAAGUAUGCAGCAGUUUCGAUCAAGCUGAUAAAUGUACGAAAUCAGCACAAGAUUGGCUGAAGAAGUACUUCAAUGAGUAUGAAUGACUUGCAAGGAGUGAUGGCUUAGCAUUUGUGUCAAGUUCAAGUGGAAGUACAUGUACUGUUGGUUCACCUGUGCUUGGGAAAAGGGUACUAGAAGAAGAAUUUGCUGAUUUCAAAUCUCGUCGUCGAGUUGUUCGUAGGCCAAAAUCUGAGAUUGACACAUAUUUGGAAGAGGAUCCUGCCGAGAAUAGUAAAAGAUUUGAUGUGUUGGGUUGGUGGAAGGCUCGUGCUGAUCAGUUUCCUGUCUUAUCAAAGAUGGCUAGGGACUUUCUUGCUAUCCCACUUAGCAUCGUAUCAUAUGAAUCGGCUUUUAGUCGUGGCAAUAGGAUUCUAGGGGACACAAGAGGCUCGCUAACGCUACAGAUGUUGGAGGCUUUAGUUAGUACAAAAGAUUGGCUCACUAUAGUCCAAGAUAAAGAUAAGGAUAAGGACGAUGAAGAUACCCACUGUUUCUUUUACCUUCAAUUGUCACCAAAUUUUUAUUUGAAAUCUGCAUAGAUGAGAAGUUGUUGUUCUUAAGGCAAGUUUCUGUCUUUUUUGGAUGUAGGGAUCUUAAGUGAAGCUGUUGGGGUUGGUGUAGGGCAGAAUGUGCCACAUUUUCUAAGCAUGCUACAUGAAGAUUCUCUCCCUGGCUCACUCUAAGACUCACUUCCUAGUUGGUCACAACUACCACAAGCCUGAAGCCGGAAGCAAAUGUCAUAUUAUUUUUUCUUUUGUUAUGCUAGCGCAAGCCUGGACUUGGAAGCAAAUAUCAUUGCAUUGUGACCAUCCUGUGGCAGCCCGUAUGGUUGUAAAUGUAUGGCAGUUCUGUAGAAAUUACUAGAUUGUGAAUUAUCAUGUGGGAUCCUUUUUUCUGAUCAAGCUUAGAAACUAAGUGUAUACUGGACUUGAUGGCAUGUUUGCAUAAUCUGUAGUACAACUAUGAAAAAGCCUCAUUGUAGUUU